rnacentral:rRNA from 1 species
AACUUGGUCAUUUAGAGGAAGUUAAAGUCGUAACAAGGUUUCCGUAGGUGAACCUGCGGAAGGAUCAUUAUUGAGGCCCUCGGGCCGUUAAAUAUGACAAACCACCGUGAACCGUGCCUCCGGGCUUUCCAAACUUGAGUGUGACGAACGUAACACAUGAGAAAAUAACACAACUUUCAACAAUGGAUCUCUUGGCUCUCGCAUCGAUGAAGAACGCAGCGAAAUGCGAUAAGUAAUGUGAAUUGCAGAAUUCAGUGAAUCAUCGAAUCUUUGAACGCACCUUGCACCCUUUGGUAUUCCGAAGGGUACACCCGUUUGAGUGUCAUUGUAACCUCACUUCAACAACUUUAUUGAUGUUGAAUGUGGACUUGGAUGUUGUCGUGUUCAACGACUCGUCUUAAAUGCCUGAGUGUACCCUGCUUUGCAGCGUAUCAGUGUGAUAAACAUCUUCACUGUUAAGUCCUUUGGACACGCUUGUGUGGUGUGGGCUCUAUGCUUCCAACCGUCUCUGGACAAUCUCUGACAAUUUGACCUCAAAUCGGGUGGGACUACCCGCUGAACUUAAGCAUAUCAAUAAGCGGAGGAAAAGAAACUAACAAGGAUUCCCCUAGUAAC